rnacentral:tRNA from 1 species
GCUGGUGUAGCUCAGCAGGUAGAGCAAGUGACUUGUAAUCACUAGGUCGGGGGUUCGAUUCCGUCCACCAGCUCCA